GACAAAAUAAAAGAUUAAUGAAACUGAUAAUAAUAAUAAUAAAAGAGACGUUAGAAGAUGAUGGUGGAUAGGGAGGUAGGUAGGUUGAAUAAAAUAGGAGGUGGGAGAUGGGUGAACUGGUGAAGUAAUAAAGGAAGAGAGACUUGUUCAGAUGAGAUGUUGAAAUGGGUGGUUAGGUGGUGGGCCAAGAUAAUAGUAUAAUAUGGGAAAGACAAAACUUUUGACAAGACUUAAUAAACUAAAAGACAAAACUUUUGACAAAAGAUGAUGCUUUGUUUCACAAGAUGGGAUCUGUGAGAGAAAAGUGGUGCUUGGUUCGGCUGGUUACAACUCAAUCCUUAUGGGAACAAUGUUGUGAUGCUAUGCCUUCAAAGAAAUAGUGUUGGACUUUGAUUGCAGUAGCAGAACAAUGUGAAAUAGAGGUAGUAGCGGCUUGUGAAAAUAGAGGUAGCGGAGUGCAGAAGCGGAUGAAUCAAGGAUGAAGGUUGAGGUUUCAGCAAAGCAGGUGAUGAAAUCAGAGAAAUCCUUGCAAGAACAAGGACUUGUGGUGACAACAGUGCAAAACUCAGAUCCCUACAGGGGCAGCGGUGUCGAGGUUGCAACACCUGAGUAAGCUCAGAGAUGGGCAGAUGUAAAACUCAGAGUCUCAAGGACUUGAGGGGUCAUGGAUGCUUGCGACGGUCGGGAGUUGGAGUCCGAUUGGUCAGAAAAUGACGCUGGUGCAAGAGUGCAGUAGAUAUUGCAGGCAGGGUGCUAGCAACGGCAUCUUUCGAAACAGAGAUACAAGGUGAGCUUAAUGCUCUGAUACCAUGAUAGAAGUGAUGGAAGAUUGUAAAUCUCUGUGUGAUUUUCAUUAUAGAGAGUAGUACAUUUAUUCAUGAAACUAUACAUAAAAGUCAUUGGUACAGUUGGAGCAAUACAUGAAAGUCAUUGGUAUAGUUGGCAUGUGUUAGCAUUUAUUAUCAUGUACAUAAGUCAAUAUUGACAACUAAUAUUAACAUGGGUGAUGACAAGAUCAGAGUGCCAAUCUGCAACACCUCAGAAUACUGUUUGAGAGUUUGAAGAUGUUUGGGGGAGAGACAAUUUAUCACUUCAUAAGUAGAGUCAAUGAAAUCAUCAAUUUGAUUAGAGGGUUAGGUGAAGAAGUGACGAAUGCAAUGGUUGUGAAGAAGGUCCUUUGGUCUCAGCCAAAAUUGUACAACAAGGUGUUGAGAGUGCAAAGAUUUGAAUGCUAUGAGCCUAGAGGAGCUUUAUGGCACACUGACUGCAUAUGAGAUGAGAAUUUUCAAGCCAAAGCCCACAGGGAAGGAAACAACAUUCAAGGCCCUGAAGAAAUUGAAGAUCAAGAAAGUGAAUCUGAAGAUUCUGAUGACGAGUUGAUAGCCUAUUUGGCUAGAAAAUUCAAGAAAAGAGGAAAAUAUAAGCGAAAACUUUCCUUGAAAUACUUCAACUGUUGAGGCAUUGGAUAUUUUCUUUUUAAGUGUCCUAGGAAGGGCAAGGUGAAUGACAUAUGAUGAAGACACAGGUGAACAAGGGCAAGAAAGAGAAAAAGAAGUUUGUUCCUAGAAGGAGACGCAACUUCAAGAAGAGAAGCUUGGUUUCAAAGAAGAUCACCACUUCUUCAAAAGAAGAAUCAGACGAGGAUGAAGUGCAUAGUUGGCACGGCAUUGCCAAGGCGGUGUUUUGGCGUUCCGGGGGUAAAAUCAGCACAUGGCAGUGGUGAACAAUAAAAACAAAACAAAACCCUCAGGCCUCGCCCAGGUCAAUCUCUAUUCUCUCAUUCUCUCAUUCUCUCACUCAAGUCUCGAUUUUUCUACUGAAAAUCCCCAAAAGAAGAAAAACCCUCAACUGAACCCUUGACCCCGACGGCUCGAUUCUUCUCCGGCAGCAAGAGAAGAAGCUUUCUCGUCUCCUGCUGCUUCGAUCCCUCUCCGACAUAAGGUUGAAAAUUUUCCAGUGGUGUAAGGCAUUGUUACUUCUUUGUCAAUUGUCAUCACUCUGUUAAAAUACCUCGUACAAGAAAGUUGAGAAGUCUGAUGAGAUGCGGAGUCUGAUGCAGAGUAUGACAGUUCUGCUUCAAAAGACCUCAAGAUGGAAACAAAGAAGAACAGAAGAAUGGAAAGCCAGCUCGAGGAGGCAGAGGAGCUGGUUAGUCAGUUGAAGCUCACAAUUGAAGAGAUGACCAAGAUAACUGAAGACAUGCAAAUGUAUGCAUUAUACUGGAAGAGCAGUUGGCGAUACUGAAGGUAGAGCUUGAGGAGAUUCAGGAGAUGAAUUACUAGGCAGCUGCCACUCAUCCCCAUCAGUUUCUAUAUUGAAACCAAGUGGCAAAGCAGUGGGAACUCAAGUGAUUGAGACAGUCAAUCCAUCACUCAACAAGGGAAAGGGGAAUGCUCUUGAUGAAAUUCUCAGCUUUUAAUGGCUGAAAUCCCAUGUCACUUCUGCUCUCUUCAGGUGUCACUGCUAAUGAAUUCCGUUGCCAUGGAAAAUUGAUAGGCCUGACACAAAAUUGAUCAUUGAUGCUCAUUUGUGUCAAACUGAUUUUGUAGUUUCCACUAUUAACAUGACAUUGUUAUGUCUUAUGAAGCUUCCUCAUCAUUAUUCAGUUCAGGUUCCUACAAAUUUCUAUUUUCUAACGCUCAUGUACUUAACUUGAGUUGUUAUUACAUAUGAGUGUAGAGAUCCUGCUUCA